rnacentral:rRNA from 1 species
UUUUUUAUAAAAGUAAUUUAUUUAUUUAAGGUUGUAGUAUUUAGUAAAAAUUAAUUUAUAGAUUUAUAGUUUAAUACCAUUGUAAAAGAAUUAAUUAAAUUUUUAAAAGAAUAUUUUUAGUACCUUUUGUAUCCUGGUUAAUUAAAAUUAUUAAUUUUUUUUUAAUUUCUCAAAAUUUAUAGAGUUAAUUUUAUUAUUAAUUUAUUGUGUUAUAAAUAUUUAUAAAAUAAUAUUAGUUUUGAAAUUUAAUUCGUUAUAUUAUAUUUAGUUAUUUAAGAUUUAAAUUUAAUUUAAAAUUUUAAAAGUUAUUUUGAUUUUAUAUAUUAAUAUUUUAAAUUUAAAUUAUUUUAGGGAUAAGCUUAAAAUUUUUAUAUAAUAAUUUAUUUAUUUUAAUAAUUUAUAGGAUUAGAAAUUUUUAUUUUAAGUUUGUAAAAAUUUAUUAUUUAUUUAUUUUUAAUUUAUUAUAAAUUUAUUUAUUUUUUUUAUUAAAUUUUAUUAAUUAAUAUUUAAUUUUUAGUAAUAAUGAUUAAAUUAGUAUAAUUUAUAUUUAUAAAUUAUGAAUUCGGCAAAAAUUAUUUUCAUCUGUUUAACAAAAACAUUGUAUUAAGUUUAAUUUAAUAUAGGAUCUGCUCAAUGAUUUAUUAAAUACCUGCAGUAUUUUGACUGUGCAAAGGCAGCAUAAUAAUUAGCCUUUUAAUUGAGGACUUGUAUGAAAGAUUUGAUGAGAAAUAAACUUUAUUAUUUAUAUAAUUAAAAUUUUAUUUUUAAGUAAAAAAGCUUAAAUUAUUUAAAGGGACGAUAAGACCCUAUAAAACUUUAUAAAUAUUAAUUUUAAUUUUUUUGGAUUUAUAAAUAUUUUAAUUUUAUUAUUUAUUUUAUUGGGGUGAUAAAAAAAAUUAUUAAACUUUUUUUUAAAAUUUUACAUUAUUUAAUGAAUAUUUUGAAUUAAAAUUUUUAAUUAUAGGAAAAAGUUACUUUAGGGAUAACAGCGUAAUUAAUUUUUUAAGUUCAAAUUUAAAAAUUAGUUUGCGACCUCGAUGUUGAAUUAAGAAACUAGGAUUAGCUACCCUAUAAUAAAAAGGUAAA